UGCAGCUACUAACCUUCCUUCCUUCCUUUUUCAGCUCUAGAGUGGAGGAGGAACCCUCCAAAGACUGAUGACAGCGCUGUACACCCCCAGAAGUCUCGCCCUUUCCUGUCACCCGAUUAUAAAAGAAACAAAACAAUCAGAAGGCGGCAGUCAUUACACAGACUGCUACUGUUGGAGCCAGAUUGCCUGCAGGAGCAACCUGAACUGCGAAGCUAUCAUGUCAUCGGGAUGACCAGCCACAUUUGUGUAUGCAUGUACAGUACAGCAGACAUUAUUAAUCUGCAGAGACCUGAAGACAUGUUCAACCUCAGCACCAGACUGGGACAGUGUGAGAUUUGUUUACAGUGGCUAGAGUGCAAAUCCUGCCACCAACCCCAGAGUUUUCCCUGCAAGUUGGGGGACCUGCUUGCAAGGCUGGAUGCAGAAUAACGUCAUACCCCGGAAGAAGUGAUUGCAGGUGAAGAUAUUGCUGGGCUCCAUUUAUGUUAAUCAGUUUUAAACCCCUUUGUUCUCUGGUCUGUAUAAACAAUUCUGUGUCUUUAUGGGUACACAUUAUGUAAUCAAUAAUUUGUGAAGUUUGUAUUUGCAUUUUACCUGAUGACUGUGGCGAAGCACGUUAGGGAUCUGUGGUGGUGCAGGUUCAUUAAAUAAGAUGGUGUGGCUCAGGCUCCGGUGGUGUAGUAGGGUAGCCAUGUGGCCCCAGAGUGUUUAAUGAGGAAACUGGCUAAUCACAUUUGCACGUACUGUAAAUACACGAUUAGUUUAGCUAGUUUCCCCUUUGACACUCCACAGGUCAUUAAGCAAAGCACCUGAACCCAAUGGUUACAAAGGAGCCUGAGCAGGAUAGAUGAGGAAAUGAACUAAAAGAAAGAAAAAUUAAAGGAGUAUGAUGGGAAAACAAGUGGACGGAAUCAGAUGGCGAGACAGUGCAGAAAGAAAGUUGGUUGAGGCAAUCAAAGUGUGGACUGGGACAUUCCUGCUGAACAAUGAAGAGCAGAAGUGAUGAAAGGCUCUUAGGGACCCCCUCUGACACGGAGGGAGGUGUAGGGAAGACAGAGUCAGGUUCAGUGCGUGUCGUGGCUGGGACUGAAAAUCAGUUGUCUACUUAUUUGGUUGGGGUCUCCACCUAGAUGAGUAUACCUAGAAAAUGGGUGAGCUGGGCAAGUUGAGAGUGGGAGAGAAAUGCACUCUGACAGAGACCCUUUUUGAUCCAUUGCUGGUGGUUCCAGACUUCUUCCAUUUCACAGUUUUUGAAGUCACUGCGCUCCUGGGACCACUCAAAGCCUUAGCCACUCCUGCCUUGAUCUGUGCCUCCCCACAGUUUAACUAUGGAGGUCUACAGACAGUUCCUUUGACUCCUGAUAUCCAGUCCAUUCAAUUUGCUACAGGGGGAUUUUGAUUACGUUCUAGACACAUUUCAAGGAGGCUGAAAACAAACAGGAUACACAAGACCACAAUUUGAAAUGUCAAGGUCUGAAUACUUGAAUGAAUGAGAGAUUUCAGUUUUUGAUUUUUAAUAAA